rnacentral:misc_RNA from 1 species
ACUGAUGCCAACAAGGCCAGUGCCAAGUUAUAUUCAAAGACCAGAUUAUGCUGAUCAUCCCUUAGGAAUGUCUGAAUCUGAACAGGCUCUUAAAGGUACUUCUCAGAUUAAAUUACUCUCAUCUGAAGAUAUAGAAGGGAUGCGACUUGUAUGUAGGCUUGCUAGAGAAGUUUUGGAUGUUGCUGCCGGCAUGAUUAAACCAG